rnacentral:rRNA from 1 species
ACGUAGGGUGCGAGCGUUAAUCGGAAUUACUGGGCGUAAAGCGUGCGCAGGCGGUUCUGAAAGUCAGCUGUGAAAGCCCCGGGCUUAACCUGGGAAUGGCGGUUGAAACUACAGGACUAGAAUCUGGCAGAGGGGGGUGGAAUUCCACGUGUAGCAGUGAAAUGCGUAGAGAUGUGGAGGAACACCGAUGGCGAAGGCAGCCCCCUGGGCUGAGAUUGACGCUCAGGCACGAAAGCGUGGGGAGCAAACAGGAUUAGAUACCCUGGUAGUCCACGCCCUAAACGAUGUCAACUAGGUGUCGGGAGCGCAAGUUCUUGGUACCGCAGCUAACGCGUGAAGUUGACCGCCUGGGGAGUACGGUCGCAAGAUUA